AACGAACGCUGGCGGCAUGCCUAACACAUGCAAGUCGAACGAGACCUUCGGGUCUAGUGGCGCACGGGUGCGUAACGCGUGGGAACCUGCCCUUAGGUUCGGAAUAACUCCCCGAAAGGGGUGCUAAUACCGGAUAAUGUCUUCGGACCAAAGAUUUAUCGCCUUUGGAUGGGCCCGCGUUGGAUUAGCUAGUUGGUAGGGUAAAAGCCUACCAAGGCGACGAUCCAUAGCUGGUCUGAGAGGAUGAUCAGCCACACUGGGGCUGAGACACGGCCCAGACUCCGACGGAAGGGAGAAGGGGGGAAGAGUGAACAAGGGGGGAAGGCCUGAUACAGCAAUGCCGCGUGAGUGAUGAAGGCCUUAGGGUUGUAAAGCUCUUUUAAACGGGAUGAUAAUGACAGGACCGGGAGAAUAAGCUCCGGCUAACUCCGUG
rnacentral:rRNA from 1 species